UGGGGAAUAUUGGACAAUGGGCGCAAGCCUGAUCCAGCCAUGCCGCGUGUGUGAAGAAGGUCUUCGGAUUGUAAAGCACUUUAAGUUGGGAGGAAGGGCAGUUACCUAAUACGUAUCUGUUUUGACGUUACCGACAGAAUAAGCACCGGCUAACUCUGUGCCAGCAGCCGCGGUAAUACAGAGGGUGCAAGCGUUAAUCGGAAUUACUGGGCGUAAAGCGCGCGUAGGUGGUUUGUUAAGUUGGAUGUGAAAUCCCCGGGCUCAACCUGGGAACUGCAUUCAAAACUGACAAGCUAGAGUAUGGUAGAGGGUGGUGGAAUUUCCUGUGUAGCGGUGAAAUGCGUAGAUAUAGGAAGGAACACCAGUGGCGAAGGCGACCACCUGGACUGAUACUGACACUGAGGUGCGAAAGCGUGGGGAGCAAACAGGAUUAGAUACCCCCGUAGUCCCUGAGCGGGCUGGCAAGGCGCAU
rnacentral:rRNA from 1 species